rnacentral:rRNA from 1 species
UAUCACUAAGCGGAGGAAAAGAAACUAACCAGGAUUCCCCUAGUAACGGCGAGUGAACGGGGAUUAGCCCAGCACCGAAGCCUGUGUCCAUUUGGAUGCUAGGCACUGUGGUGUUUAGGUGGUGACGUGUCGGUUCAUCUGCUGCCCCAAGUCCAGUAAUGAAUAUGGCUCUUAUGUUGGCCCAGAGAGGGUGAAAGGCCCGUGGGGGUGGUUAGGUGAGCUGACCGGUUCCACCUUGGAGUCGGGUUGUUUGUGAAUGCAGCCCAAAGUGGGUGGUAGACUCCAUCUAAGGCUAAAUACUGACACGAGUCCGAUAGCGAACAAGUACCGUGAGGGAAAGUUGAAAAGUACUCUGAAGAGAGAGUAAACAGUGCGUGAAACCGCUGAGAGGUAAACGGGUGUAGUCAAGCUGCAAGCCUUGGGGAUUCAGCUGAUCAGUGUGAUGUGUGUGUACGAGCAUACUUUUGGUCUGUUUCGGUCCGCCUAAACUGGUGGGCUUGCCUCCUCGUGGGUCAAGUGCUUGGGUAUCACGUGGAUACUGAGCGCCGUGCAGGAUCUAAUUGCUGGUCAGUGCACUUCCUCAGGGUGUAAGCCACGACCGCCUUUGCUGCCGGUCUGCCGGGAUCAACCGUCUUGGUGGGGCUGAACAGCCCGUCCAGGUCGGGAUGGCAGGUAGCCUGGUGUGCACGUUCACGUGUGUACUGGGUGUUAUAGCCGAUCCUUGUGCGGUCCGUAAACUGUGCAGUAUGGCGGAGAUGUCGGCGUGUUGGUAACAGCUCUCGUGCUAAAGUCUGCCGGCAUGAUCAAUGUCUGGCUGCCUGUAGUCGAUGUAAAAUUCGGCCUGGCGGCGGCUUGUUCAUGGUGUAGCGGACGGCGGCCUGGGCUAGCCACCGGUCUUUGGCCGGUUCGUCGUCUAUAGUCUGUGGCGUAGUGGUAGACGAUCCACCCGACCCGUCUUGAAACACGGACCAAGGAGUUUAACAUGUGCGCGAGUCAAUGGGUGUGUAAUACAUUAUUCACGAAACCCAGAGGCGCAGUGAAAGUGAAGGCCUUGUUUAGGUUUGUUGAUGCUCUCGCAGCGUCUUCAGAUCUUGCAGGCUGAGGUGAGAUCCCGCUUGGCACCUGAGCAGACCUGGUCGUGCAAUUCUGGACCAGCGGGCGCAUCACCGGCCCGUCCCAUGGUGUACUUCACCGGGGCGGAGCAAGAGCGUACAUGUUGAGACCCGAAAGAUGGUGAACUAUGCUUGCGCAGGUUGAAGCCGGAGGAAACUCUGGUGGAGGACCGUAGCGAUUCUGACGUGCAAAUCGAUCGUAUGACGUGAGUAUAGGGGCGAAAGACUAAUCGAACCAUCUAGUAGCUGGUUCCCU